GGAAUCCCAAUGGGUUUUGUGAGAGGCGUACCGGAAAAUGAUGAAAAAUCACAGUGCCCCAGAAGUAGUUACCUUACCUGGAGGCCUUUACCUGGAGGGUUCCUGCCAAGGAGAGCGAAACGACCCAGCACUAAGCACGCGGGUGGGGGAUUAGCGGAUCUACCUGAAGACGUGUGUCAAAGAACUACAGCUCGGGCCGAAAUUCGUCGUGGAACCUAACAAGGCUAGUCCUGCUCUACUGACUGUAGUGAGAGAAGUAACGAAAAUGUGCACCGGAAAAUGAAAAUGACGGAUGUGUCUCACGUGCCAUUGACGUGCUCAACCCUAAUGUUGGUCCCCAGAGCAAGCUGCCAUUAAAGAGAACAUUGGAUUACCUUAAGGGUCACAAACUGUGUGCAGUUCCAGCGGA
rnacentral:lncRNA from 1 species